rnacentral:rRNA from 1 species
CAAAUCCUUUGCAGACGACUUAGCUGUGCGAAACGGUCCUGUAAGCAGUAGAGUAGCCUUGUUGUUACGAUCUGCUGAGGGUAAGCCGUCCUUCGCCUCGAUUUCCCCAAUGGGUUCUC